UACGUAGGUGACCAGCGUUGUCCGGAUUUACUGGGCGUAAAGAGCUCGUAGGCGGUCUGUCGCGUCGGAUGUGAAAACUCGGGGCUCAACCCCGGGCCUGCAUUCGAUACGGGCAGACUAGAGUACGGCAGGGGAGACUGGAAUUCCUGGUGUAGCGGUGAAAUGCGCAGAUAUCAGGAGGAACACCGGUGGCGAAGGCGGGUCUCUGGGCCGAAACUGACGCUGAGGAGCGAAAGCGUGGGGAGCAAACAGG
rnacentral:rRNA from 1 species